rnacentral:rRNA from 1 species
AUUGAACGCUGGCGGCAGGCCUAACACAUGCAAGUCGAGCGGGGUUUUCGGACCUAGCGGCGGACGGGUGAGUAAUGCGUAGGAAGCUGCCCGAUAGAGGGGGAUACCAGUUGGAAACGACUGUUAAUACCGCAUAAUGUCUACGGACCAAAGUGUGGGACCUUCGGGCCACAUGCUAUCGGAUGCGCCUACGUGGGAUUAGCUAGUUGGUGAGGUAAUGGCUCACCAAGGCGACGAUCUUUAGCUGGUUUGAGAGGAUGAUCAGCCACACUGGAACUGAGGCACGGUCCAUACUCCUACUGGAGGCAGCAGUGGGGAAUAUUGGACAAUGGGCGCAAGCCUGAUCCAGCCAUGCCGCGUGUGUGAAGAAGGCCUUCGGGUUGUAAAGCACUUUCAGCGAGGAGGAAGGGUGAUGUGUUAAUAGCACAUCAUUUUGACGUUACUCGCAGAAGAAGCACCGGCUAACUCUGUGCCAGCAGCCGCCGUAACAC